GAUGAACGCUGGCGGCGUGCCUAAUACAUGCAAGUCGAGCGAACGGACGAGAAGCUUGCUUCUCUGAUGUUAGCGGCGGACGGGUGAGUAACACGUGGAUAACCUACCUAUAAGACUGGGAUAACUUCGGGAAACCGUAGCUAAUACCGGAUAAUAUUUUGAACCGCAUGGUUCAAAAGUGAAAGACGGUCUUGCUGUCGCUUAUAGAUGGAUCCGCGCUGCAUUAGCUAGUUGGUAGGGUAACGGCUUACCAAGGCAACGAUGCAUAGCCGACCUGAGAGGGUGAUCGGCCACACUGGAACUGAGACACGGUCCAGACUCCUACGGGAGGCAGCAGUAGGGAAUCUUCCGCAAUGGGCGAAAGCCUGACGGAGCAACGCCGCGUGAGUGAUGAAGGUCUUCGGAUCGUAAAACUCUGUUAUUAGGGAAGAACAUAUGUGUAAGUAACUGUGCACAUCUUGACGGUACCUAAUCAGAAAGCCACGGCUAACUACGU
rnacentral:rRNA from 1 species